GAUGAACGCUAGCGGCAGGCCUAACACAUGCAAGUCGAGGGGUAGAGGAAGCUUGCUUCCUUGAGACCGGCGCACGGGUGCGUAACGCGUAUGCAAUCUACCUUUUACAGAGGGAUAGCCCAGAGAAAUUUGGAUUAAUACCUCAUAGUAUAUAUCAUUCGCAUGUUUGGUAUAUUAAAGUUCCAACGGUAAAAGAUGAGCAUGCGUCCCAUUAGUUAGUUGGUAAGGUAACGGCUUACCAAGACGAUGAUGGGUAGGGGUCCUGAGAGGGAGAUCCCCCACACUGGUACUGAGACACGGACCAGACUCCUACGGGAGGCAGCAGUGAGGAAUAUUGGUCAAUGGACGCAAGUCUGACCCAGCCAUGCCGCGUGCAGGAAGAAGGCGUUCUGCGUUGUAAACUGCUUUUAUAUAGGAAGAAACGACCCUUGCGAGGGGCAUUGACGGUAUUAUAUGAAUAAGCACCGGCUAACUCCGUGCCAGCCGCCGCAGUAAUAC
rnacentral:rRNA from 1 species